GUGCUCCCUUCUGCAGCACAUUUAUUAAAAUUGGAACAAUACAAAGAAGAUCAGCGUAGCCCCUGCACAAGGAUGACACACAAAUUCAUGAAGUGAUCCACAUUUUG
ensembl:snRNA U6 U6 spliceosomal RNA